UAUAUUGGUUUUGGAUUCCUAACAGUCGAAUUCUUCAAGGUCGAAACGAUAUCUCGGCGACAUACAUGUAUAUCGUAUGGGCUACAUGUAUUACAGAAAGGACCGCUAGAUGUCACUAAUGUGUAGUGGUACAAUGUAUGCUACACCUGGUGUCAAACCAGUUUCGCAAGAUUUUACUCAAAGCCGUUCGUCGCCAUGUUCGGUAAAGAAUAUCAAUGUUUUUGCCAUCCUGUGUAGUGUGUACUAUGGAUAGCUUAUCACAUUCGACCAUAAGAGAUUUACAAUGUACAUGUGUUCUAUGCAACAAUCUAUGUGUGGAUUAUGGGUGACGUCACGUCCUUUGGAAUAGGCCUGGAGACUUGAACAGCGUUUCGGGCUUCAAGAGAACCGAGAACAAUGGUUCUUCUUCUUGCGACCAUCUCAAGAGUCUGAUCGAGACUACCAAACUCCGACGACGCACCUGCUCGUGAAAACCAUGAUGUCAUCCAGACCUGUCAUUUUAAGAUGGGAUGAUGUAUCGUUUGUCGGGGGCGUACACCGGGAUUGAGGCUAGAAAAAGCGGCAAAUCUGCGGUUUGCGGCAGACCACGACGGGGAGAUCAGCCUGGAGACGUCCCUACCUGACAUCUUCACCAACCGUCGCCAGCCAGUGUGCACGACGUGGGUCGGAAGGAUCGGAUAACCUCGACGGCACCAGACCCGACGCUUGUCCGAGCACCCAUCGCACCCUUCACCUGCACAUCCGUACGGGAUACCGAUCAAGACAGCCCAACACCCCACAACCGUAGCCUUGACACACGAUGGACCGGCGAGUGUCGGUAUCUGUGGGGCUGCUAGUCCUCGUCGCUAUGGGCACUGGCGUGACUGGUCAAGGUGUGUGGAUGAGACGGGAUCCGUCAUGGGUUGUGGAAUCCUCAGGGUACCCAUGGGUCGACAAUGGAGUGUCAUAUG